GAUGAACGCUGGCGGCGUGCCUAAUACAUGCAAGUCGAGCGAACAGACGAGGAGCUUGCUCCUCUGACGUUAGCGGCGGACGGGUGAGUAACACGUGGAUAACCUACCUAUAAGACUGGGAUAACUUCGGGAAACCGGAGCUAAUACCGGAUAAUAUAUUGAACCGCAUGGUUCAAUAGUGAAAGACGGUUUUGCUGUCACUUAUAGAUGGAUCCGCGCCGCAUUAGCUAGUUGGUAAGGUAACGGCUUACCAAGGCGACGAUGCGUAGCCGACCUGAGAGGGUGAUCGGCCACACUGGAACUGAGACACGGUCCAGACUCCUACGGGAGGCAGCAGUAGGGAAUAUUCCGCAAAGGGCGAAAGCCUGACGGAGCAACGCCGCGUGAGUGAUGAAGGUCUUCGGAUCGUAAAACUCUGUUAUUAGGGAAGAACAAAUGUGUAAGUAACUAUGCACGUCUUGACGGUACCUAAUCAGAAAGCCACGGCUAACUACGUG
rnacentral:rRNA from 1 species